rnacentral:Y_RNA from 1 species
GGCUGGUCUGAAGAUGGUAAGUUAUCUCAAUUGAUUGUUUAUAGUCAGUUACAGUUUGAACUCCUUCUUCUACUUUCCCCCCUUCUCAAUAUUGCCCUUGACUAGUCUUAG